ensembl:lncRNA
GAGGACACCUGGGGUAAGAGAGAAUGGGUAGAAGGGGAAGAGGUAUAGAAGGGGCAGAGGUAUAGAAGGGGCAGAGGUAUAGAAGGGGCAGAGGUAUAGAAGGGAAAGAGGUAUAGAAGGAGCAGAGGUAUAGAAGGGAAAGAGGUAUAGAAGGGGCAGAGGUAUAGAAGGAAAAGAGGUAUUGAAGGAGCAGAGGUAUAGAAGGGAAAGAGGUAUAGAAGGGGCAGUGAUAUAGAAGGGGCAGAGGUAUAGAAGGGAAAGAGGUAUAGAAGGGGCAGGGGUAUAGAAGGGAAAGAGGUAUAGAAGGAGCAGUGAUAUAGAAGGGGCAGAGGUAUAGAAGGGGCAGAGGUAUAGAAGGGAAAGAGGUAUAGAAGGAGCAGAGGUAUAGAAGGGGCAGUGAUAUAGAAGGGGCAGAGGUAUAGAAGGGGCAGAGGUAUAGAAGGGGCAGAGGUAUAGAAGGGAAAGAGGUAUAGAAGGGGAAGAGGUAUGGAAUGGGCAGAGGUAUAGAAGGUGAAGAGGUAUAGAAGGAGCAGAGGUAUAGAAGGGGGAUAGGUAUAGAAGGGGCAGAGGUAUAGAAGGGAAAGAGGUAUAGAAGGAGCAUAGGUAUAGAAGGGAAAGAGGUAUAGAAGGGGCAGAGUUAUAGAAGGGAAAGAGGUAUAGAAGGGGCAGAGGUAUAGAAGGGAAAGAGGUAUAGAAGGGGCAGAGGUAUAGAAGAGGCAGAGGUAUAGAAGGAGCAGAGGUAUAGAAGGGGCAGAGGUAUAGAAGGGAAAGAGGUAUAGAAGGAGCAGAGGUAUAGAAGGGAAAGAGGUAUAGAAGGAGCAGAGGUAUAGAAGGGAAAGAGGUAUAGAAGGGGCAGUGAUAUAGAAGGGGCAGAGGUAUAGAAGGGGCAGAGGUUUAGAAGGGGAAG